ACUCUUUGUGGUACUUUAAUUUCCUUCAACCAUGUUUUUUUCAGAGAAGGAAACAGGUGGUUGAGGAGCAUGAUUAAAUUUAAUGGUAGCCAUGGGGCUGGAGAAAUGGCUCAUCAGUUAAGGGUACUGGUUGCUCUUCCAGAAGACUGGGUUUGAUUCCCAGAAUCCGCAGAUGUGGGCUCACAACCGCCUGCAAUACAAUGCCGUCUUCUGACCAUGAGGGCAUGAGAUACUUAUGUGAUACAUAGGCCCAUGCAGGUAAAACACAAUGCUCUCCCCAAGAGCCAUAAACUCUCUAACAAAAUCCCUAACACGAGGUGUAAGAAUCCCUCUUUUGAGAGUCAUGGUUUCCUAGAGAGACUUCCACAUCAUUCUUGGAAUGCUGGCUAUUGUUCCGUUCGGUUGCACCCGGAAGUGGAAGGUAAAUCUCUGCUGCUGAAGACGCCAUGCAUUUUUGACACAGGACCCGGAGGAUAUGAGCUAGAUCUGAUCUUAAAGCCUUCUCCUUGAAGAUUAGUCUUCAUGUCGCCAGAAAGCACCAUGCAAAAUUCCCAAGGAGGGACGCAACCAGCUACGAUACUAAUGAGCAAGAACAGCAACCAGCAUGUCAUCGUACCCUUAAGUUCUCCUACAGCAAGACGGGAGAUGACAACCAGAUUAUCUCUGGAAGCUCGAAAGCCUGGCAUACUCAGGGGCAAACAGAACUCAAGUAAGGUAAUAAGACCCGUACCAACCCCCCCAAAUGUCCUUAAGCCAAAAAGGAAGAGCUAUGUGAUGCUGACGUAAGAGAAGACAGAGAUCUGAGGAACCCUCUGCUGCGAACACUCUCCUCCCCUGAGCUGGUAGCCCUGGGCUAAGCUCUGUGACUCAAGACAAGUGGCCACAUUGACAAGCUGAGAUUCUAGAACCCACCCAGGCUCCAACAAGGACUAAGUUAAGUAAUGUUAAAUGAUGCACCUUAUGGCCUUGGAAGAACAAGAACACACCAAAACCAACAGCAACAGAUUUAAAGAAAUAACAUCUGACAGAAAUUAAUUAAAGAGAAAAAAAAUAUCAACAAAA